GCAAGUCGAACGAACUCUGGUAUUGAUUGGUGCUUGCAUCAUGAUUUACAUUUGAGUGAGUGGCGAACUGGUGAGUAACACGUGGGAAACCUGCCCAGAAGCGGGGGAUAACACCUGGAAACAGAUGCUAAUACCGCAUAACAACUUGGACCGCAUGGUCCGAGUUUGAAAGAUGGCUUCGGCUAUCACUUUUGGAUGGUCCCGCGGCGUAUUAGCUAGAUGGUGGGGUAACGGCUCACCAUGGCAAUGAUACGUAGCCGACCUGAGAGGGUAAUCGGCCACAUUGGGACUGAGACACGGCCCAAACUCCUACGGGAGGCAGCAGUAGGGAAUCUUCCACAAUGGACGAAAGUCUGAUGGAGCAACGCCGCGUGAGUGAAGAAGGGUUUCGGCUCGUAAAACUCUGUUGUUAAAGAAGAACAUAUCUGAGAGUAACUGUUCAGGUAUUGACGGUAUUUAACCAGAAAGCCACGGCUAACUACGUGCCAGCAGCCGCGGUAAUACGUAGGUGGCAAGCGUUGUCCGGAUUUAUUGGGCG
rnacentral:rRNA from 2 species